GCCCCUAGUGGGCCCUGAUGAAGGAAAGAGUUGAGAUGGGGGCAGCGCUGGACCCCAGGGCCCCUGUCUGCCUCCUGGAGAGCCCGGUGACCCAGGCAGCCCUGGUGAGGCUGUGGGUGUCUGGGCCAUAGCGAGGCCCGCGAGCUCCCACAGGACAGAUGCGGACAGUGAGGCCGGGGAGGCCCUGCUGCCCUCCGGACUGUCCCUCCAGCCCCCAGCUUUCUGUGGUUCUCUGGGCCCCCUCUGCAGAGGGGCAGGGGAGCCCACCCUGGAUCCUGAGACGCCAAGCUUGAGGGACCCCCAGAGCUCUAGCGAGGCUGCUUCCUUUGCGGAUGGUGAAGCUGAGGUCCAGAGGAGGGCAGGGGCAGGUCCUGGGCGCUCCCUAGGCAAAGGGAGCCGAUCUCCGGGAGGCGGUCACAGGGAGCGCUCCUGCGACUUCUAGGGCCCGAAAGCUGGGGAGGAUGAGAGACCAGGGGCCUUUCGUCGUCCCCUGGGGCUGGGCAGAGGCUCAGCCUGUGCCGCAACCCUAAGCUGCUUCUGGCAAGUCCGAGCCGCGGUCCCUUUAAGAGGGGGUGGAGCUUCAACCUGGCACUAGGGAUGCUGCCUGCGUGCGUGUCCCUACGGAGCUGAGACUGUACUUCCUGCGACGCCCCUGCAGCAGCAGCAGCAAGCAGCGUGGUCAGAGCGAGCUUCAGAGAAACGGUGGUGGGUUCCAUGUGAUGGUGGAGUAGGAGACAGGUCUCCGCGGUUCAUCUGCGUUGCUCUAAAUGACACUGUUUCAUUAUUUUGAUGGCUGAAGAAUAUUUCCUAGUGUAUGUAUAUGAGAGUUUCUUGAUCUCUUUAUCUGUGGAUGAACAGCUACUUUGAAAUAUAUGAUAUAUUUGUGUUAAGGCUAGUCACCCUGCUGUGGAAUAGAAGGCCAGAAUUGAUCACUAUCAUCUGAGAGUAACUUUGCACCCAUCACUGAUUCCUUCCGAGACUGCCUCCACUUCCCCAGCAGCCUCUGGUUUCUUCAUGUGGCUGCAGAUGGCAGGAUUUCCCAAAGGCUUAUGGCUGCAACAUAUUCCGUGGUGUAUCUGUACAGCAGUUUCCUCAUUCCUGCAGCUGUGUUUGAACAGCAGACCAGCAUCCCUCCUCCUCUGCCUUGCUGGUGUUCAUCCUUGUGGACUGUGUCAUAAUUGUCAUUCAUCAGAAUGUGUGAAAUACUAUCUCAUGGGCCUUUUGCUUUGCAUUUCUCUGAUGAUUCCUGAGGUCAUUUACCAUGCGGUCCUCCAGGUUCAACAGUAUGGCUCCAAAUGAUGAGAUUUCAUUCUGAUUUUCUGGCUGAAGACUAUUCUGUUUGUGUAUGUCCACCACAGUUACUUUAUCCCUUCAUCUGUGGAUGGGCAGGAAACUCCAAACUGUCCAAGGGAUAGUUCUGUUGUGAUUACUUCAUUGAGAAAUUUAACUUAUGAGCAGUUGAAAGGAAUGCAAGUUGCUGGAAAAUCAGAAUGAAGAGUGCAAAAUGACCAAGCUACAAUGUAUUGUCAUUAUUCACUCUGAUGUGAAAAAGGCAGUGAAUUUAAUAGAAAAUAACUUUGCAGAAUAAAAUCUCAGGUGUGUUUUUGUAGUGCCACAGUCUUGGAUGAUGGGCUUCUAGAUGUUGAGUCCUAGAAGCUCUCAACAUCUCUUCUUAAUUGGAGAAAGUGUUAAGCCCCAAAGUAGCUGGAGCAGUACAUCUUCAAUUUUUGACAAGAAACAGGAACUUGAUUACUUUGAGUGUUAUUCAUUAGUUUCUGCUUUCAUUGAGAAUGCAACAAAAGCCAACGAGCCUGCUGCUAACUCCUUGCUGGACAUCUUCUGCCACUAUCAUAGGAACUGUGAUCUCACUGGACAAUUAACUAGGGAGCCUUUCAUCUUGAAUGACUGCUGCACAAAUGAUCUUCAAAGCAUUUUAGCCACCAGAGGAAUUCUCUUCAAAUACCCAAAAUCCAUCAGUAUCUUGAAUCAUGCUGGAUUUUGAAGAAUUCUUAACAAGCCAUGUAAAGGGGGCUCUCUGGCCUUGAAAUAGUGAUGUUUUUUAUACAGAAAGGAGAAUGCUGAAUGGUCAGACUACCAUGCGCUGUUAAAUUUGAUUUCAAGAAAUUACAGGAAAACUUUCCAAAGUUCCGUCUCACAGAAUUUAUUUUUACAAAGAAUUCCAAGAUAAGUUUAGUUUUAUGGAAGAUUUUUAUGUGGUUUUUACUCACUCUUCAUCUCAGACAUCAACUGAUGAUUACAUCACUUAUUUAGCUAGUAAAUUUAUUGAUAUAAAACUCAGAGACAUUCCAAUAUCCACAUUGCUUACAUCAUCAGGCAUAGAUUCAAUGUCAGCUAUGACAAUUGAAAAUAAGCUGUUUUGUGAUUUAAAGGUUUAAAUUUCUCUAACCAAACAGCUUGAUCCAGAUGCAGCACUGCAAAUGUUAAUAUUUGUUCUGGAAGAACAAUCAAAUAAGACUUAAGAGGAAAAGGAAUGGCCACAAUCCACCUGAAAUUUUUUUUAAAAAGUGUGCAGCCUACUAAAUCAGAAUGAAAAUAGAAGUACAAGAUUAUAAACAAAAUGCAAUCAAACUUUUCUUAAGCUUACCUAAAGUUAUUUUAUCUGAAAAUUUCAAGCAACUUUGUUCAACAUUAAAUUGACAAUCUAAACUAACAAGUCUUUUGAAUUUACGUAUGGUAGUAAACAUUCUCUCUAUUAAUUUUAUUACCUAAGGCUAAACCUAUAAUUUUUAAGCAAAAUUAGAAAAAUAGUCUUCACUUAUCAAAAAAAUAAAGUUUGUUACAUUUAGUAUUUUCCCAAUAAAAUUGGUCAUUCUUGGUUUUUUAUUUGGAGAAUCUGUGCAAAAUUUCACUGAAAAUAAAUUAGAACUAGAAAUUAUUUCUAAAUAUAAAAAAAAUGAAGAAUGGUUUCACAAAGAAAAAAGAAAACUUGCUUAAUUAGCAGAGUAUCAUCUCUGUGAUUUUUGUGAUUAUUUGAUCAGUGUCCUGAGAUGGAUACAAUGGCAAGUAAUGACAAAAUUAAAAUAAGCAUGCAGAUUUUUUUAAAUUAAGUGCCAAAAAAUAAUUGGUCAUGCAAAGCCCUUAAAAAUAUUGUGGCCUAAUUCUAAAGUUUUUUGCUACUAUGCUACAUCACACGCAACAUCAGUUAAGUGCUCAUUCUGUGACAGGUAGUACAUUACAUUUUAGCAAACUACACAAGACCCCUAUGUGAUAAUAUGCUUCAGGGUUGUAAGGUUGGGUGUAUUCACUAGUCUUGAAUUUUCUGGGAGUAUACAAACCCAAUAUUAGUCUAGAUGCCCACAAAUGUAUUUAGACGUCACAGUAGAAUGGAGAGUAAUCUUGACCACAGGAAGCUGUGUUGUGGCAUUUAUUUUGAAAUUAUUUUUUCUUGAUUUUUUUGCCUUUUAAUUGUUUUGUGAGUUUUAUAAUGUACAGAAUAUUUUUAAAUUAUUAUAUAUAUAAACUAAUUAGUCUUCAUUUAAACUUAUGCCUCUGGGGUCUUACUUGGGUUUCUCCUAACAAUAUUAUACACAUAUUUGCAGUAAUUUCUCUCAUACUGCUUUUAACUCAUUUAAUUUUUUAACUUUUUAAGAAUAACAAAAGUGAUAUUAAUUGUAAAAAUGCUGAAGUGACAUAUGAAUUUAUGAAGUGCAUAUGUAUUUUUUAUUUUACCAAUGAGAUGGGAGAAAUGCUGUCUUAUAUUUUAACAUACAUUUUGGCCAUUACACAGAUGAAGCAACUUUUCAUUUGUUAAUACAUAAUGCAUACUUUUUCUUCUGUGCAAUUCCUCUUUGUAUUCUUUGCUCAUUUUCCCACUGGGAUUUGCAAGUUCUUUAUUAUUUGAUAAUCUCUGUACAUUCUGAAUAUCAAUUUUUUGUUACAUAUACCAUGUAAAUAUUUUCUUCUAAUUUGUUAUUUGUCUUUUAAUGGUAUUUAUCAAUUGUUUGCUAAAAAUGAGUUUGUUUAGUUAGUAAAAUUUGUCUAUCUUUAACUUCAUGAUAUUUGUAUAUCAUGUCAUGAGGAAAAGGCAUGAAUAUUUUAAAAACUUCCUUGUAGCGUUAAUUUUAUUUUUUAUUUCAUUAAGUUAUUUGAAAUUUAUUGUUUAUUUCUUCAAAUUCCAAAUAAUAACCAACUUUCUCAAAGCAA